UUCAUAGCUUUAACUGCAAGUGAGACAUUUACGUUUAACAAAUCAUGUUUUAUUUUUUUGCAGUUUUCCAGGUUGCUAUGGUGGCAUUAUUGCAUAGAUGAGAGACCAUCCAUGAUUCAUACACAACAUCGACUGACGUGGUUUCAGAUUUGGAGCAGGAAGGGUGACCGUGUGUACAUACAGAUCAUGGACUAAGGUGUUGUCAGAUCUGGAGCAUAAAUGGCAUUGGUAUAAUGGAUGGCCGACGUUCAGAUGUACAAAGUUAUACAGCAGAUUUUGGAGC
rnacentral:lncRNA from 1 species